UACGUAGGGGGCAAGCGUUGUCCGGAAUCAUUGGGCGUAAAGCGCGUGUAGGCGGCCCGGUAAGUCCGCUGUGAAAGUCGGGGGCUCAACCCUCGAAUGCCGGUGGAUACUGUCGGGCUAGAGUGCGGGAGAGGCGAGUGGAAUUCCUGGUGUAGCGGUGAAAUGCGCAGAUAUCAGGAGGAACACCAAUGGCGAAGGCAGCUCGCUGGGACGGUACUGACGCUGAGGCGCGAAAGCGUGGGGAGCAAACAGG
rnacentral:rRNA from 1 species